GAAAUGCGAUAAGUAGUGUGAAUUGCAGAAUUCAGUGAAUCAUCGAAUCUUUGAACGCACAUUGCGCCUCCUGGUAUUCCGGGAGGCAUGCCUGUCCGAACGUCAUCAAUCCCCUCGCCCGCAGCCGUUGCUUGCAACGGCCGCCCUGGGCGGUACCUGGCAGAUGGGUUGUCCACUGUGGCUCCCACCGUCGAAAUCCAUUGGCAGAUCCUCUGUGGCUGUGUUUGUGAUAAGAAUAUUACCUACAAUCACCAGGCUAAGAGGCGUUUCGCCGCAAUCAGCCAGGCCUCCCUCCACGGGGCGGACCCUUGGUCACCAACCAUAUCUUUUGACUUCGGAUCAGGUAGGGAUACCCGCUGAACUUAA
rnacentral:misc_RNA from 1 species